rnacentral:rRNA from 1 species
CAACCUACGGGAGGCAGCAGUGAGGAAUAUUGGUCAAUGGGCUUACGCCUGAACCAGCCAAGUCGCGUGAGGGAAGACUGCCCUAUGGGUUGUAAACCUCUUUUGUCAGGGAGCAAUUGGCGCUACGUGUAGCGUUAUCGAGAGUACCUGAAGAAAAAGCAUCGGCUAACUCCGUGCCAGCAGCCGCGGUAAUACGGAGGAUGCGAGCGUUAUCCGGAUUUAUUGGGUUUAAAGGGUGCGUAGGCGGAAUGCCAAGUCAGCGGUAAAAUCGAGGGGCUCAACCCCUUUAAGCCGUUGAAACUGGU